rnacentral:rRNA from 1 species
UACGUAGGAGGCAAGCGUUGUCCGGAAUUACUGGGUGUAAAGGGAGCGUAGGCGGGGUGAUAAGUCAGAAGUGAAAAUUAUGGGCUCAACUCAUAACCUGCUUUUGAAACUGUCGCUCUUGGGUGAAGUAGAGGCAAGCGGAAUUCCUAGUGUAGCGGUGAAAUGCGUAGAUAUUAGGAGGAACACCAGUGGCGAAGGCGGCUUGCUGGGCUUUUACUGACGCUGAGGCUCGAAAGCGUGGGGAGCAAACAGG